GACGAACGCUGGCGGCGUGCCUAAUACAUGCAAGUAGAACGCUGAAGCUUGGUGCUUGCACCGAGCGGAUGAGUUGCGAACGGGUGAGUAACGCGUAGGUAACCUGCCUGGUAGCGGGGGAUAACUAUUGGAAACGAUAGCUAAUACCGCAUAACAGUAGAUAUCGCAUGAUAGCUACUUGAAAGGUGCAAAUGCACCACUACCAGAUGGACCUGCGUUGUAUUAGCUAGUUGGUGAGGUAACGGCUCACCAAGGCAACGAUACAUAGCCGACCUGAAAGGGUGAUCGGCCACACUGGGAAUGAGACACGGCCCAGACUCCUACGGGAGGCAGCAGUAGGGAAUCUUCGGCAAUGGACGGAAGUCUGACCGAGCAACGCCGCGUGAGUGAAGAAGGUUUUCGGAUCGUAAAGCUCUGUUGUAAGAGAAGAACGAGUGUGAGAGUGGAAAGUUCACACUGCGACGGUAUCUUACCAGAAAGGGACGGCUAACUACGUG
rnacentral:rRNA from 1 species